UAAAAAUAGACAAACUUUUUGAGUUUUUUCCUUCGAUUGUAUCUGCAAAGAAUUAGUACAAUCUUUAUUGCAUGACUUAGUACUAAGCAAAACUUUGUAGCUCUAAAAUGUAAUGUUUAAUAAAGCUCAUACCAGAGACAAUAUGGAACUUACAAGUUACAACUGAGAAAUUUACAAGUUUAAAAAGAAAUCCCGAACUAAAGUUAAAUCUUGACUGAGACUGCCAACUUCAAAAGAAGAGAGAAAGCAAGCCGGAAACUUCUAACUCCAUUAUCGGACAGAAUGCCUUCCUCUGAUUCCUGGAAUGAGAGUGCCAGACUAUAAGGACAAACAAUCAACAAGAAGUAGAGAACCUGGGUGGGGUUAUUUGUCAGAAAGAAUCCGUUUUUCCUCCUUAACAGGCUAUGCCGGUUGUAUCCUCAGAUUUAGUAGCUUCUACAAAUAGUGAGGACUGAAGAAAGCAAGACACAGAGCAGUUCGUAGAAGCAACUAUCAAAAGAUAUACAAAUACUAACCUGCAUGUAAAAGAUCCAACAGGAAAAAUUCAAAAUAUGAAAAAAAACCAAAUCAGAUCUAUCAAAAUCAUAUCAUCAAAAAAAUGAUUGCAAGAAAGAAAGAAGGAGAGUGAAGUAAAAUCUAGCAGAAAUUUACAAGUACAAUAGUUAGCUUAUACAGUUUCACAAUUUAAAAGAUUGAAGAACAAAAAAAGCAGAAGAGGGUUGAGAGACUCACUGAAAGAUGAUCUGCAAGUUGUGAAGUACAGCUAUAGAUUAUAAUAAAUAUAAGUGUAAUAUACAUCAUUUGCUAAAAGUAGGUGCCACACGUGUCCCUCUUAGCAGACAUGCAAUUUAUACUUAAUUUACAUCUAAGCUCUAAAGUGGCAGACGCUCUAAGUCUAAAGUGGCAGACACUCACAAAUAAAGAGGGUCUUCUAAUUGUAAAUUGUGAAGUAAUG
rnacentral:lncRNA from 1 species